UUUUGCAAGGACUGUGACGAAGCAAUUCAUUCAGCCAGCAGCCUCGCCAAGAACCACCAACGCUUCUUAGCCACUGGAAUCCGUGUAGCCUUGAGCUCAAGCUGCAAUAAGGAAGCAGUAAAAAACCAACUGGAGCCACAACCACCUCAGCAGAAUUCUCAACAAGUUGGCUUGAAAAUGCCUACGCAGCAAUUGUCUGGUAUCACAUCACCAUCUUGGCCUGUCGAUGAUUUACUAGGAUUUCCAGAUUAUGAGUCUAGUGACAAGGUAAAAAAAACUUAUUCCUUUUACAUUUUGCAAGUACCCUAUGUUUUCGACUACUUGCGUGGCUGGGGAAUUGAUGUGUGGAGGACUUCUCUAGAUGAGAAGCUAUCAUUUUUCUUGGUAAAGCAGCUUAUGCAUUGAACUUGAAUUUGAAACACUUAAAUAUGCAAAACGACUUCCUUAGAUUCCUCGAUACAUAGGGAGACAUUUUAUAACACCAUUACAUGUAUAUAUGAAUUCAGUAUUACCGUGUAAUUGUCUAUUCAUCUAAUAUGUAAUGAAUAACCUAUAUGAUUGUUUCAAUCUAUACAGAAGGAUCUACUUGAGCUUGGUGAAUUUGAGUGGUUAGGAGGCAUUGAUCUCUUUGGUGAACAAACAGCAGCUGAAGUACCCGAGCUAUCAGUACCUCAGUCGAGCAACACAAAUAUUUACAGGACAACCAAAUAUCAAAUGCCUUACAAGAAGCCCAGAUUUGAAAUCCCAGAUGAAGAUGAGUAUUUUACUGUCCCAGAUCUUGGUUGAACACCAACUUCAAGAAGUUCCUAAUUAAAAGUAC
rnacentral:lncRNA from 1 species